rnacentral:rRNA from 1 species
GACGAACGCUGGCGGCGUGCUUAACACAUGCAAGUCGAACGGAAAGGCCCUGCUUUUGUGGUUUUCUCGAUUGGCGAACGGGUGAGUAACACGUGAGUAUCCUGCCCUUUACUUUGGGAUAACUCCAGUAAACUGGGGCUAUUACCGCGUAUGAGCUCCUGCUGCAUGGUGGGUGUUGGGGAGUUUCGUCGGUUGGGGAUGGACUCGCGUCUCGUCAGCUUGUUGGGGGGGUAGGGUCUUACCAAGGCUUGGACGGGUAGCCGGCCUGGGAGGGUGACCGGCCACAUUGGGAUUGAGAUACGGACCAGACUCCUACGGGAGGCAGCAGUGGGGAAUAGUGCACAAUGGGCGGAAGCCUGAUGCAGCAGCGCCGCGUGCGGGAUGACGGCCUUCGGGUUGUAAACCGCUUUCGCCUGUGACGAAGCGUGAGUGACGGUAAUGGGUAAAGAAGCACCGGCUAACUACGUG